GGGCAUUUUCGGCCAAUCUCUCUGACGCCCUACGCCCCCACCGCGACUCCACAUGCUUGCAACUUGCUAGACAUCCGCCAGGUGAUGAGGCCGCUCCGCCUUGGCAAGGCACCCACCGAGGCACCAACCAAUCUGCCCUUUGGGGAAGUGGCGAUGCAGUGCUCGGAUCGAACGUCGAAGUGUUACGACUUGGCAUCUUCAAAGCUCGGACUCUGGACGAAGAUAUCAUGAAGACUGGUAGGUUUAGUUACCAUCUUGAAAUUGUCGAUUUUGUUUUCAUUAUGUACAACAGUACAAGUGGUCUUGUAUGAAGGUGGUCAGAUUUAUGAAUCAAUAGAGCUUUAUUAUAGGAUUGUUCACUGACAUGCAUAUGGUGAAGAGCUAAGUUUUUACAUGAUCAUCUCAGAUGUAUCUGACUUUGUUCGGUAUUAUGGGCAUAAAACAUGGAAUAUAUAUUUCUUAUGUAACUUUUUGAAAUAAGAGUUAUUGAUGUAUUCUUGAUAAAA